GAAUGCUGUCUCAGUUAGAAAGGUAAAAGAUGUCUGCUUUGUUUUUUGAAGCACGUAUGCCGCAGUGUCCCAGGGCCUAUGGAAAAGCCUCCUCUGGCUCUGAAACGGUCGGCCCCUGCCUGUGUGCAGAGGGCACACCACCAUUCUCCACAACAAUAUGAAAUCCAUCCAAGUCAGCUAUACGAAAUAAAACGCUAUGACAAAGAAGAUUGUAUAUUUGAUCCAAGUGUACUGAAAUCCGAACAACAGAGGAGGAGUAUAACUCUCAGUCUGCCCACAGAGUUCAUACACAACAAUAUCGCAUUCCUCCAAGUCAAAAAUAAGAUCUG